GAAAUGCGAUAAAUAAUGUGAAUUGCAGAAUUCAGUGAAUCAUCGAAUCUUUGAACGCACCUUGCGCUCCUUGGUAUUCCGAGGAGCAUGCCUGUUUGAGUGUCAUGGAAUUCUCAACUCUAUUUGCUUUUGUGAAUAGAGCUUGGAUUUGGAGGUUUAUUGCUGGUACUUGUGAUCGGCUCCUCUUGAAUGCAUUAGCUCGAACCUUUGCGGAUCAGCUAUCGGUGUGAUAAUUGUCUACGCCGUUGCAGUGAAGCAUAUCAAUGGGCUCGGCUUCCAAUCGUCCUUUACUGGACAAUGACUUUGACCUUUGACCUCAAAUCAGGUAGGAUUACCCGCUGAACUUAAGC
rnacentral:misc_RNA from 1 species